GAUGAACGCUGGCGGCGUGCCUAAUACAUGCAAGUCGAGCGAACAGACGAGGAGCUUGCUCCUCUGACGUUAGCGGCGGACGGGUGAGUAACACGUGGAUAACCUACCUAUAAGACUGGGAUAACUUCGGGAAACCGGAGCUAAUACCGGAUAAUAUAUUGAACCGCAUGGUUCAAUAGUGAAAGACGGUUUUGCUGUCACUUAUAGAUGGCUCCGCGCCGCAUUAGCUAGUUGGUAAGGUAACGGCUUACCAAGGCAACGAUGCGUAGCCGACCUGAGAGGGUGAUCGGCCACACUGGAACUGAGACACGGUCCAGACUCCUACGGGAGGCGGCAGUAGGGAAUCUUCCGCAAUGGGCGAAAGCCUGACGGAGCAACGCCGCGUGAGUGAUGAAGGUCUUCGGAUCGUAAAACUCUGUUAUUAGGGAAGAACAAAUGUGUAAGUAACUAUGCACGUCUUGACGGUACCUAAUCAGAAAGCCACGGCUAACUACGUG
rnacentral:rRNA from 1 species